UACGUAGGGGGCAAGCGUUGUCCGGAAUCAUUGGGCGUAAAGCGCGUGUAGGCGGCCCGAUAAGUCCGCUGUGAAAGUCCAGGGCUCAACCCUGGAAUGCCGGUGGAUACUGUCGGGCUCGAGUCCGGAAGAGGCGAGUGGAAUUCCUGGUGUAGCGGUGAAAUGCGUAGAUAUCAGGAGGAACACCGGUGGCGAAGGCGGCUCUCUGGACCACAACUGACGCUGAGGCGCGAAAGCUAGGGGAGCAAACAGG
rnacentral:rRNA from 1 species